rnacentral:rRNA from 1 species
GAUGAACGCUAGCGGCAGGCCUAACACAUGCAAGUCGAGGGAGAAGCCUUUCGGGGCAGAAACCGGCGCACGGGUGCGUAACGCGUAUGCAACCUACCUUUCACAGGGGGAUAGCCCGAAGAAAUUUGGAUUAAUACCCCAUAAUAUUGUUGGAUGGCAUCAUUUGACAAUUAAAACUGAGGUGGUGGAAGAUGGGCAUGCGUCCUAUUAGCUAGUUGGAGUGGUAACGGCACCCCAAGGCUACGAUAGGUAGGGGUCCUGAGAGGGAGAUCCCCCACACUGGUACUGAGACAGGGACCAGACUCCUACGGGAGGCAGCAGUGAGGAAUAUUGGUCAAUGGUCGGAAGACUGAACCAGCCAUGCCGCGUGCAGGAAGAAUGCCUUAUGGGUUGUAAACUGCUUUUAUAUGGGAAGAAUAAAGGUGUACGUGUACA